rnacentral:lncRNA from 10 species
UUUAAUAGAGAUGGGAUUUCACCAUGUUGGCCAGGUUAGUCUCAAAGUCCUGACCUCAGGUGAUCCACCUGCCGGGGCCUCCCAAAGGGAUUAUAGGUGUGAGCCACCACGCCCAGCCAGCUGACUCAUUUGUGAUAGGGAAUAGUAGUAUCUGUCCAAGAGCCUAGGGAAUUACAUGAGAUGAUGCACGAUCUUAGCACGAUAUCCAGUAGAGAAGAAGCACUCGAUAAACAUAGUUCUUAUUAGUGGCACCAUAGUUAAUUAUUAAUUCAUACUCAAUUACAAUACAAUGAGGGUAUUUGAUAGUAUUUUUUUUUUUUCUGAGUCAGCGUCUCGCUCUGUCACCCAGGUUGGAGUGCAGUGGCGCGAUCUCGGCUCACGGCAAGCUCCAACUCCUGGGUUCACACCAUUCUCCUGCCUCAGCCUCCCGAGUAGCUGGGACUACAGGCGCCCACCACCACACCCGGCUAACUUUUUGUGUGUUUAGUAGAGACGAGGUUUCACCAUGUUAGCCAGGAUGAUCUCGAUCUCCUGACCUCGUGAUCCGCCCGGCUCGGCCUCCCAAAGUGCUGGGAUUACAGGCGUGAGCCACCGCGCCCAGCCUUUGUUUUUUUUUCUUAGACAAGGUCUUGGCCAGGAAAGUGGCUCACAUCUGUAAACAUAACACUUUGGAAGGCCAAGGCAGGAGGAUUACUUGAGCCCAAGAGUUAGAGACCAGCCUGGGCAACAUGGUGAGACCUCAUCUCUACAAAAAAUUUAAAAAUUAGCUAGGCAUUGUGGCACACACUUGUACUCCUGGCUGCUUGGGAGGCUGACAUUGGAGGGUUGCUUGAGCCCAGGAGGGCAAGGCUACAGUGGGCUAUGAUGGCAUUACUGCACUCCAGCCUGGGCAACAGAGCAAGAUCCUGUCUCAAAAAAAAAAAAAAAAGAGACAACGUCUUGCUGUGUCGCCAGGCUUGGGUGCAGUGGCAAAAAUCAUAGCCACUGUGAGCUUGAACUCCCAGGCUCAAACAAUCCUCCCACCUCAGCCUAUCAAGUAGUUGGGACUACAGGCGAGUGCCACCAUGCCUGACUAAGUAAAAAAAGUUUUUCUGUAGAUGGGCAUCUCACUAUAUUACCUAGGCUGGUCUCAAACUCCUAGCCUCAAGCAAUCCUCCCACCUCAGCCUCCCAAAGCACUUGGAUUAUAGGCAGGAGGGACUGUGCCCAGAACAAUGAUGGUAUUCUUAAUGGUUAAUUAUAACUUUAGAACCACAGAAUUGACCUGCGUUAGAGGUCAUGGGACCAGUAUCUCCUGCUGUGCUGAUGCGGAAGCCUGAGGACCAGGGAGACACAGUGACUUGUCCCAAGUCAUGUCAGUGUGUGAGCUGAGACUGCAACCCGGGGGUCCUGACUCCCAGGCCUGGGCUCUGUGUCUGGACUGCGCUGAUUUCCUCCAAGUCCUGCCUGGCCUGGAGGCUGAAUGGGGCAAGCAGGCAAGAUCCUUCCUCCACCUUCCAGGCAGUUGGCCCCAUUCCAAGGUCCUGCACACCCAGCACCACCUCGGGCAGGCUGGAGUGCAAUGGUGGCAAUCUCAGCUCAUUUCAACCUCCGCCUCCCGGGUUCAAGCGAUUCUCCUGUCUCAGCCUCCACAGUAACCGGGAUUACAGGCACCUGCCGUCGUGCCUGGCUAAUUUUGUAUUUUUAGUAGACACGGAGUUUCACCAUGUUGGCCAGGCUGGUCUCGAGCUCCUCACCUCAGGUGAUCUGCCCACCUCGGCCUCCCGAAGUGCUGGGAUUACAGGCGUGAGCCACCGCGCCCAGCCCCCCUGACUCUUUUGAACCUCAGCUCUUUCAAGGCCUCUUGAGCCUUCUGAAGCACAGCUCACCCUGAUGAGUUCUUUGCCUCUCUUCCCAUUUCCUACACAUUCUGAUUUUCAAAAGCUCCAUCUAGACCAGGGUUAGCAAACUGUGGACAGUGGGGCACAUCAGGCUUCUGGUCUGUUUUUGUAAUAAAGAUGUCCUGGAAAUAGUCACAUUCAUUUCUGUAUUGUUUGUGUCUGCUUUCAUGCUACCAUGGCACAGUCAAGUCAUUACUAUCCAAACCAUCAAAUAACCUAAAAUAUUCACUCUCUGGCCAUUUACAGAAUAAGCCUGCUGACCCUCUCCGAUAAAACUUCCCAUAAUCAUGGGAAUGUUCUAUAUCUUUGCUGUCCAAUAUGGUAGCCACUAGCCACAUGUGACUAUUGAACAUUUGAAAUGUGGCAAGCAGGCCAAGCAUGGUGGCUUACGCCUAUAAUCCCAGCACUGUGGGAGGUCAAGACAGGAGGAUCACUGGAGCUCAGAAGUUCGAGGCAAGCCUGGGCAACAUAGUGAGACCCCAUCUCUACAACAAUGUAUAAAAAUUAGCUGGGCAUGGUGGCGCAUGCCUGUAGUCCUAGCUACACAGGAGGCUGAGGUGGGAUUAUUGCUUGGACCUAGGAGGUCAAGGCUGCAGUAAGCUGAGAUCACACCACUGCACUCCAGCCUGGGCAACACAGCAAGACCCUGUCUCAAAAAAAAAAAAAACAAAGAAAAGAAAAGAAAAGAAAAAAGCACUGAGGAAAUGAAUUGUUAACAUUUUUAAUGUAAGUAAAUUUCAGCUGGGUGCAGUGACUCACACCUGUAAUCCCAGCACUUUGAGAGGCCGAGGCAGGUGGAUCACCUGAGGUCAGAAGCUCCAGACUGGCCUGGCCAACACAGUGAAACCCUGUCUCUACUAAAAAUACAAAAUUAGCCGGGCUUGGUGGCGCGUGCCUGUAAUCCCAGCUACUUGGGAGGUGAGGUAGGAGAAUUGCUUGAACCCGGGUGGCAGAGUUUGCAGUGAGCCAAGAUUGUGCCAUUGCACUUCAGCCUGGGCAACAAGAGUGAAACUCUGUCUCAAUAAUAAUAGUAAUAAUAAUUUAAUUUAAUUUUUUUUUUUGAGACAGAGUCUCACUCUGUUGCCCGGGGCUGGAGUGCAGUGGUGCAAUCUUGUCUCACUGCAACCUCCAACUCCCAGGUUCAAGGGAUUCUCCUGCCUCAGCCUCCUGAGUAGCUGGGAUUACAGGCGUGAGCCACCGCACCUGGCCUAAUUUAAUUAAAUUUAAAUAGCCACAGCACAUCAAGUCCAGCCUUCUGAGCUUCCCUCCACUGGCCUUACAAGAUCCCUCACUCCCUUAUUGCUUUCAGACCUCAAAGCCCUGUAGUAUCAUCCUAGGAAUCUAGAAAUGAGUCUCUCAAAAUCUCACUUCGUCAACACAGUGCCUGAAAUUCCACCAUCAGUGUGCCAACUCCUUGAGUUUAGCAUUUCCUUCACCCCCGAUUCCAAUUUUAAGUUGCAAAUAGCCCAGUGAGGGUUACAGAUGAAACGGGCAAAACCUCCCCGUGAAGUAGAUGGUCCAAGGGCUGCCUGGUCUUUGGAAGCUGAAGUGGACAUUGCAAAGGGAGCAAUGGUGUCAAGGCUGGAUGCCACGCCAUUAGAGCUUAGGGUCCAGAGCCCACGGUGGGAAUGAGGGCAGCUGCUAUUGCUCUUACCUGCCAGGGCCAGCUGUAGGGGACCGCAUCCUCACCAUGGACAACGCGGCUGGAAGAGUGAGAGGAAGGUGGGCCAUAGCCUGAGGCUAGAGGGGAGAGGAGAGCUGUCAAUCAGCUGGAGGGUCCCCAAAAGCAAAGAGGAGGCCAGGGUCCCAGUCCAAGCCAUGCCUUCAACUGGCUGUGUGACCCCAUGCAAGCCCCUUUCGCCCUCUGGACCUCAGUAACCACAUAUGAACAGUGAACAUUUAAACUAGAGCAGGGCUUUCCAGAAUCCCAGGAGUCCAGGGAUAGAGAUUCAAAUGUGGCCUCCUUCAUUGGGAGGAUUGAAGAGCUUGAUACACUUAGAACAAUGCCUGGCCCUCGAUGAGCCCUCAAAAAGUGAGAGCUAUUGUCAUACAGAGUGGAGGCUUUAAAGAAGGACUUCCUGGGUUCAAAGUGCAGCUCUGGGCUGUGUGUGGUGGUUCACACCUGUAAUCCUAGUGCUCUGAGAGGCCGAGGCGGGAGGAUCGCUUGAGCCCGGGAGUUUGAGACCAGCCUGGGCAACAUAGCAAGACCUCAUCUCUAGAAAAAUAAAGUACAAUAAAAUAAAGUAGCCAGGUAUGGUGGCAUGUGCCUAUAAUCUCAGCUACUCAGGAGGCUAAGGUGGUAGGAUUGCUUGAGGCCAGGAUUUUGAGACCAGUCUGGGCAACAAAGCAAGACCCCAUCUCUACAAAAAAAAAGCAAAAAAUAAAAACAUUAAGUGCAGCUCUGCCUUUUGUUCUAUGAUAAGCUACUUUACUUCCUUGAGGGUCAGUAAAAUGGGGGAUAAUGAUAGUACUGAUCUCCUGAGGCUGUUGUGAGAAUUACAUGAGAAAGUAUAAGAAAAUCCCUAAACAUUCUGCCUGGCAUAGUAAGCACUCAAUCAAUGUUAUCUGUUACCAUUAUUGUCAGUCAAGGGAGGCUGUUUGGAAGAGGUGGCCCUGAGCUGGAAUGUAAUAUGGCAGAGAGACCAGGAAAAGGCCAGAGCAUAGAAUAUGGAGCCAGGUAGGGGGAGUGAGAGGAGAGUUGGAGUGGUAAGUAGAACUGUGGAAAUUCCAACCCAAGAAGUCCAACCACACAGUCCAAACUCUUAACCGUUUGACUUUGUUUACUGCCCCCAUCAAGGACUUCCACCACAGCCCUUUGGGGGUCUUUCACCAUCCACAGCUUCCCCUCCACUCUCCUGCUCCAUCAUAAGCUGAAAGCCCCUACAGUCAUGCCCCCGGGUACAAGCUGAGACCCCCUCCUGUGGAACCAGGCAUAGCAUGUCAUGGGACUCAGAGCGAGUGGUAGAUUUCAAGGAUUCCUAGUCCAGGGCAGCCCAGGGAGCACACAGACAGGUUGGGGUCUUACCAACGGCCACAAGGAGGAGGGAACUGAGCAGCCGGAGCAUCAUGAGUUUUGUGAUGAUAGGAAAAGGGCACAGAGCCUGGGGCUCUAAUAUAGGGCAGAAGGUAAGCAGGGGGGCUGAUUGGGCCCCACUCCCAGAACAGGUGGUGGAACUCCAGGUCUCCCAUGGUCCAAGGCCACAGUCCUCGCCUGCUGCAGAUGGACAAGUGACAGCCAAAGGGAGGACCUAGCGUUCCCUCCAACAGGUGGCUGGACAGGUGGUGUGGAGUGGCCAACUGAUAACAAGAGUUCAGGAAGAAAAGCUCAUGUCAGGACAAGACCUCCUCUUUCGGAAAGAACAGGGGCACUGGAACCGGGCAGACCACGGUUCAAUCCUGGUUCUGCCACCUUCAAGCUCUGCGACUUUGGGCGCAUGGCUUAACCUCUCUGAGUCUCAGUUUUCUGCUCUCUAACAUGAGAUUUAUAUUAGUACCCACCUCCACAAAAAAAUUCUUGUUGAGCACUUUUUCUCUAUGUAUCAGGCACUGUUCUAGGGGAUACAGCUGUGAAAAAUGCAUGGUCUCAGCCCUUCUAGAGUUUGAGUCUAGGCCAGGAGCGGUGGCUCACACCUGUGAUCCCAGCGCUUUGGGAGGCCAAGGUGGGAGGAUCACUUGAGGUCAGAAGUUCGAGACAUGAUGAAACCCUAUCUCUACUAAAACUACAAAAAUUAGCCAGGUGUGGUGGUGAGCACCUGUAAUCCCAGCACCUGUAAUCCUAGCUACUGGGAGGCUGAGGGAGGAGAAUCACUUGAACCUGGGAGCGGAGAGGCAGAGGCUACAGAGAGCCGAGAUCAUGCCACUGCACUCCAGCCUGGGCCACAGAGCAACACUGUCUCAAAAAACAAAAACAAAACCAAAAAAAAAAACAGAGAAGAAAAGAAAAUGAAACAUAGGUGAUUGGGGUAGGAAUGGGAGUAAGUCAUUUAGAUGGGGGGGACAGAGAAAGUGACAUUUGGGCUGAGGAGGUCAUAUCUGAUGGAGUCCUGAGGAUAAGUAAAAGCCAGCCACGGGAAUCCCUGAAAGAAACGCGCUCUGAAGGGAGGCGACAGCAGGUGCGAAGUUCUGGAGGCUGCAAUGGGCUUGACUUGUUCAAGGAAGGGGAGGCCAGUGUGACAGGAGCUUGGUAGUCAAAGUAGAGAGGGGUGGGAGAUGAGGUCAAAGAGCAGGCGACCCCGAAAGUGGAAUUCACAGGUGAUCCAGCCGUUUCCCUCCUAGGUCUAUACCGUGAGAAAACCUUAGGCAUGUGCUCCAGGAGGUGUGGAUGAGAUUGUUUGCCGCAGCCCCUGUUCUCAAAACUCAACAGCAAAGACCUAGAAACAACUCCCACGUCCAUCAAGGUUCAUAGGUCAAUAUGUGUAGCAUAUUCACACAAUAGAUUUUUUUUUUUAUAGUGGUGCGAUCUUGGCUCACUGCAACCUCC